GAUUCAAUGCCUAUUCCUAGAUAUUGAAAUGAAAGCACAAAAGAAAUCAAGUGAUGCUGCCAGCAAGCAGACGGGUACUCAGAGGGAAUUUAAGAUUUGAAUUUGAGGGAAAUUCAGGAUUAUAGUAAAUGGAUGACAGUAGGUGAAGAAUCAAUUCAUUCUUGGUCCCUUCCGGAGGAGGAAGGUACAGCCACCCAGGUUGUACUGAUGAUGUCACUUCAGAUGUUCCGAGCCUCAGCCUCAGUGGUAACCACGCAGGAAUUGAGGACUUAAGAUCUUACUUCGGGAAAGCACUGCUUGCCGUAGAAUUUGUGGUUGCAGACGCCGUGCUGAGGAACAAGACGACACCAGCCGAACAAGUCCACACAGGAUGGAUCCUCUAAGGUGAGAAGAGACGUUCGGCACAUUAGGGCGGCUUCUUAGCCUUUUCCUUAAGGCGAGGGCCUACAGACAGAGACUUGGGGUCGACUUGCCUAUGGCCCCCCGGGGUUCUUACAUGAGACACGAGGACUUUGUGGGGGAAAAAGCAGGAUGAAGGCACCCAGAGGCACCACGAAAGUGACAGUGUUAUUCGCUCAGCAGGAUCCGACUCUUUGCGAGCCGUGGACUGUAGCCUGCCGGGCUCCUAAGGCACUGCAACCACUAACAAAAUGUAAACAGGUUAGGGUUACUGGAUUGCAAGUGGAUGUUCAAAAAAACAAAACAAAAGUCAUCUGAAGCCUGAGCUUAAGGUCUGAUCCUCCUGAAUAAGCUGGAGACUACUGUUGUGCCUCCAAGGCAUGGCCCCUAAAGACAACAUCCCCGAGGGUGUUGUUAAACCACUGGUUCUGUUUCGGAAGGCCUGGGGUGAGAACCCAGUUUUUUUUAAUUUCUAACUAACACCCCAGGGUUGUGGCCACUACUCCAGGCUCAUUACUUUGGGGACCAACAAACCUCAUAUACCGGGGGUUCCACGCCUAGAUUGAAGGCCCAACGGUGACACUCUGUGCAGGUUUAAAUCAAACCUCAUGGCCAGUUUGUGAAGACAUGGACUGAAGUCAGCACCAGUCUUUUUAAACUUCCUUCCUUGGGUAGGCUAACAGGUGUGACUAUCCACUGGAAGCAGAACACGGGGCAUCAGAGGCUUUUGCCCCAAAGGCCCUCAGGAGUCGCAGAGCACACAUGGAGGUGCACAUCCAUUUUUCCUUCCGCAAGCAGAAAUGUGUGUUUUAGGGGUCAGGGCUCAGUCCUUUGCCUGGGUUUGCAAGGAAUUUCUUUUUAACUUUAGAACUAUUUAGGGUCUACCCCUAUACGUGGGUAAAUGCUGUCAUUCAGAGCUGGAAUUUCCUCCUCUAUGCAAGUCUUAAAGUCACCCUCAAGUCCCCGCAAACCGUACACCACCCACGGGCACCCAGUCACGUCCCUCCUGAAUCCACCCUCACGGCUCGCCUCUGAGCCCCGGGACACGGCUCACGAGGCUCUUCUUUUUCUGUUGCUUUGCCUGCUGCUCCCAAUUUGCAUCUGGUCUUCCUGUGAGCUGCUGACAGCGCCUUCCUUAAGCCUCGGUUCUUCCGCCUAAAGCUCCCUUUCACGCACACACUUCACUCCUCCCAGCCCCAGCGUGGCCUCGGAAUCCUUUUGAAACGGGCACGCAUCCCUGGCACACCCCUGCCCCUAACCCUCCCCUUGGAUCCCGCUCACCUGGAGUCAGAGGUACAGUCUCUACAGUGACUCACAGGAUCUGGUCCCCAAGACGGCAGAGCCACCUCAUCCUUUCAUUUCCCUGAAGCCUCUGCUCAGAGGUGCCCGCUGGGUUCUGCCUUCUCUGACCUCCCUAUGAGAACCCCCGUGGCCCCCAGGAAGGACCACCUCUCCCUGCUUUGUUUCCCUACGUGCGAUUUACCAGCAUUUAUCACGUCACGUGUUUACCUAUGGCCGCCUCCUCUCCAGCGCAGCAGCCUCGAGCAGACAUCUGACCGACUUUCUCUCACUGCUCUGCUCCCAACACCUGCCACAGCGCGGCUGCUCAAGAAGCACUUGUUGAAAAAAAUAAAUUCCCUCCACCUCACGGCCAAAACAACCAGUUCAAGCCACACUAACUCUCCGCUUGGGUACAAGGAUGAAACAGACUUGUUCUUUUCUUUCCUACUAGUAAGUCCUGGUUAGAUUCUGAAGGUGGAGUCUAGAGGAUUAGCUGACAGGUGGGUAAAGAGUGUGAGACAGGAGAAUCAAGAAUGGCUACGGGAUUUUGACCUGGGCAUCUAGAAGAACGGGGUCAUGUUUACUGAGAUGGGGGCGGGGUGGAGGUAGGCACCAGGAGACUAGUUUAGGAUAUAUCAACAGAGAUACAAGCGCCACAUGAGAGGAAGACUUUGCCUAUGUGUCUGUAUGUAUAUAAUCUUCAAGUUCAGUUAUUUUUCAGUACAGUGCCUUACACCCCAGUGCAUUAGCAUGUACCCUAAUCAGUCAGAAUGGACGGCUGGAUCAGCUUCUAUUUAGACAGCAGAGACGAUCCUAUUGACGCAGAGGAAGUACUGUAGGAUACAAAAAGCAUGGGCCUCAGCACUAUCACCACUUACCCCUCCUGAGCUAAGCAUGGAAUUUCAACAUCUAGCUUCUGCUGGAAGCUAGAUGCAAGUCAGGAAUCAGACGUGCGGUGUCUCACGAUGCUGUCAGGGUAAGUAUGGCAUUGGGUUAUGGUUGUAAUAAUGAUUACUAAUAGCUGAUUACUGAGUGUAAUAGAGGAUGGCAUCACCGACUCAAUGGACAUGAGUUUGAGUGAACUCCGGGAGCUGAACAGGGAGGCUGGUGUGCUGCAGCCUGUGGGGUCGCAAAGAGCCGGACGUGACUGAGCGACUGAACUGAACUGAACAGCUGAUUAUUUGAGCCUCUGUUAUGAGUCUGGUAUUUUGUUUACACUAUUAAGGACAACCCCAGAGCGAGCUUCACAUCCUACAUGCAAACUAAUUGACAAGUAUCAUUGGCUGGAUCCUCACAUCCAGCGACUCCCCACACCACUACCCUUGUGGGACCUCGUCCCCUCACUGGACAUGGGACCCGCCUCCUGCAGAGAGGAGACAAGUCCUCGUUCUGUGCUAGGCCCCCUCCUCAGUGUAACUUCCAGGGAUCCUCCCGUGCGAUGGGGAUGGGGAUGGGAGAACUGGGAGGAAUCCCCACCUGAGUAAAACUAGAGGCCUGUGUUUGGCCAGGAAGAAAUGCCUGGGCCUGUGUCCUGCGUGUCUGCCUUCUCAUUUCACUCCUCUUGAUACAAGGAGACCUGCCUCAGGCAGGAGGGCUGAGACAAGGCCCUCUCCUGGGAAGCCUUCCCCAGAGCCUCGUCGCACCAUCCCUGGCACCAGCUAGAGCUCACCACCAUCAGGGACUGCCCUGGAUGUGUAUACCUUGCACACCUCUCAGGAGGGCUCCUCAUGUCGACUGUGAUGUGAAAGGCACCCCCUAGAGUUUGGGCAGAAGCUGCGUAACUGAAUACAACAGGAAACCGACUUGCGCGUGGUGGGGUCCUUUACCUCUCUUGGCAGGAGCUGGACAGAAGUUGGUGUUACAGGCCCGCAGCACUGGAGGCUUCUGCCGCAGCAGGCAACUCGAGGAAGGCCGGCCCUGCUGGACGCAGUGGACCGAGCGUGUCUGCACCCCUCCGCCACAGGUGAGGACGUCCACCUGGGACAAGCAUCGCUAUGCAGAAUGGCUUCUGAGAGGAAAAAAUAUGUUGCGGUAAAAAAGACUAUGAGUUUUGGAAUUAGCUCUAAAUUCAAAGAUAGCUGGAUCCCUGUUAUCAAAUCAUCUCAGUCAGAAGAUGGCUAACUAUUUUUGUGAAGAACAAGCCAGUAACUAUUUUGUUAAUUGAGGUAUAGUUGAUGUCCAAUAUUAUGUUAGUCUCAGGUAUACAACAGAGUGAUUCAAAAUUUGUAUAGAUUAUAUUCCAUUUAUGGUUAUUAUAAAAUACUGGUUAAACCCUUGUCUUUGUAGAUUAUAUAUAUAUAUAUAUACACACACAUAUAUACAUAUCAUAUAUAGUAGUUUGCACCUCUUAAUGCCUCUCGUCCUGCAGUAAUCACUGGUUUGUUCGCUACAUUUUUUCCAUUCCACAUAAGUGAUAAACAGUAUUUCAUUUUCUCUAUCUGACUAAUUUCACUAGGCAUAAUACCCUCCUGGUCCAUUGAUGUUGUUGCAAAUGGCAAAAUUUCAUUCUUUAUUACACCUGCUGAUGCGCACUUAGUCUGCUUCCGUGUCUUGGUUCCUGUAAACAGUGCUGCUGUGAACGCUGGGGUGCGUGUGUCUUUUUAAAUUAGUGCUUUCAUUUUCUCUGGAUACAUACAACAUAGGAGUUGAACUGCUGGGUCAUAAGGUAGCUCUAGUCUUAGUUUUUUGAGGAACGUCCAUACAGUUUUCCCCAGUGUACCAGUUUACACUCUCACCAACAGUACACAGAGGCUGGCUUUCCUCCACAUCCUCACCAACACUUGUUCUUUGUGACGAUAACCAUACUGAGCAGUAUCAGGCGGUGUUUCCCUGUGGUUGUGAUUUGCAUUUCUCUGACGAUUAGCAAGGCU